UCAAAUCAGGUGAGGUCUAAUAUAUGCC
rnacentral:sRNA from 1 species